rnacentral:rRNA from 1 species
CCUACGGGUGGCAGCAGUGGGGAAUAUUGCACAAUGGGCGAAAGCCUGAUGCAGCAACGCCGCGUGAAGGAAGAAGGGUUUCGGCUCGUAAACUUCUAUCAACAGGGACGAAAGAAAUGACGGUACCUGCAUAAGAAGCCACGGCUAACUACGAGCCAGCAGCCGCGGCAAUACGGAGGGGGCAAGCGUUAUCCGGAAUUAAUGGGUGUAAAGGGUGCGUAGGGGGGAUGGUAAGCCAGAUGUGAAAGCCUUGGGCUUAACCCGAGGAUUGCAUUUGGAACUAGCAAGCUAGAGUACAGUAGAGGAAAGCGGAAUUCCUAGUGUAGCGGUGAAAUGCUUAGAUAUUAGGAAGAACUCCAGUGGCGAAGGCGGCUUUCUGGACUGAAACUGACGCUGAGGCACGAAAGCGUGGGGAGCGAACAGGAUUAGAUACCCCAGUAGUC